CGCCGCCGCGGCCAGAGCCCCCAGCCUCUGCGCCGCGGGCCGGGACGAGCGCCCGGGCCCACGGCCUCCGCGCCUACCUUUCGGACUUGGUGAACUUCCGGAAUGCCUGUCGGAGGUCGUGGAAGGACCUCCGCUUCUCCAGCUCUUUGAUCCUCUCCUCCUUGAGCAUGAGAAUCUUGGCAAAGUCUUCCUCUAGCUCGCUCAUUUUUUCACUGAGCCCCUCCGCGAAACUUUUUCUCGGGCGGCGGCGGCGGCGGCGGCGGCGGCGGCGGCUGGGACGGCAGCCGGCAGCGGAGAGCGCGGGUGAGCGAGUGAAUGGGCGCUAAGUACUCGAGCGCGGCGGAGUGCGCCCCUAAUGCGGCGCGGGGAGCCUCCUGCUUCGAUCCGCUUCUGCUGAAUGGACUAAAAGCACCGAGGGGAGGAUGAGAAGUCUAAAAGCGAUGGAGAGGAGAGGCAGAGUGCUAAUCUCCAGCCUCUCUGGGGAGUAGGUGAUUAUCUUUCAUUGAGAAACCAAUUAGAGCUGCCCUUCCUCCCCUGAGACCCCCUCCCUCGUCCCCCUCUCCUAGUCACUCCGUGAGAAUACGCGCGCGCCACCCCACCGACAGCCGAGUUGCU
rnacentral:lncRNA from 10 species